rnacentral:lncRNA from 1 species
CUGAAAAGCAAGUCCCCCAGGGAGGAGCUGCUCAAGAUGUGGGGUGAGGAGCUCACCAGCGAAGAGAGUGUCUUUGAGGUCUUUGAGCACUACCUCUCAGGAGAGCCGAAUCGCCAUGGCUACAGAGUGAGUGGGUUACCUGCCUGCCCUGGAACGAUGAGCCCCUGGCGGCGGAAACCAGCCUGAUGAAGGAGGAGCUGCUCCGCGUGAACAGGCUGGGCAUCCUCACCAUCAACUCCCAGCCCAACAUCAACGGAAAGCCGUCCUCAGACCCUGUUGUAGGCUGGGGCCCCAGUGGGGGCUAUGUCUUCCAGAAGGCCUACCUCGAGUUCUUCACCUCCCGAGAAACCGUGGAGGCUCUUCUGCAAGUGUUGAAGACGUAUG